GGCGGACGGAGGGAUGGAUGAGGUUACCUGGAAAAAAAUCGGGGCGGAUCUAGGCGGGCGAACCUCGCCAACGAACGAUCGGACAUGGGAUAACGGAAGAGGGCGUCGGCUCGACUUCGUCGGUUCCUCGGGCCGAGGCACGUACGGUGAAUAGGGACGGUCGGGGCCGCCCGUACCGGGUCGUGAGAGGUGAAAUUCUAGGAUCGACCCGAGACGAACCGCCGCGAAAGCAUUCGGCAAGGACGCUUUCAUUAAUCAAGAACGAAAGUCGGGGGAUCGAAGACGAUCAGAUACCGUCGUAGUCCCGACCGUAAACGAUGCCGACCGAGGGCCCGGACGGAGUUACGUACGACCCUCCGGGCCCUCCCGCCGAGAAAUCAGGAGUAUUCGGGUUCCGGGGGG
rnacentral:rRNA from 1 species